rnacentral:rRNA from 1 species
UUCAGCAAGGCUUUGGGGCCUCGGAACCAAGGGCUGUCAGCGUAUGAAAAAGAGUUCAUGGCAGUCCUCAUGGCCGUCGACCACUGGCAACCGUACUUGCAGACGGGGGAAUUCAUUAUCCGGACGGACCAGCGCAACCUGUCUCAUUUUGAUGACCAACGCCUGACGACACCCUGGCAACGGCGUGCUCUCACCAAACUGUUGGGAUUGCAAUAUCGGAUUGUGUAUCACAAGGGAAUUGAGAACCGGGCCGCAGAUGCUCUGUCUCGCCGAGAAGGCAUGCUUGCAGCUAUGUCGGUGGCUCUUCCGACAUGGCUUGAGGAGAUUGCAGCAGGGCAUCACGCAGAUCCACAAGCUCGGGGAAUCCCAGAGAAGUAUAGUGAUACGUCUCCAACGUAUCUAUAA